CUUUUAUCCAGAGAGGUGGAGGGACUGGCCCGAUGAAACCCGGCAACCGAUAACGACGGUGCCAAUUCCUGCGGAAGAGAUUCCGAGAGAUAAAUU
rfam:Megasphaera genomosp. type_1 str. 28L contig00024, whole genome shotgun sequence.